rnacentral:lncRNA from 1 species
UAUGUCUAUUAGCUACACUAAAAUAAAGUUUUUGGGUUACAUAUUUCGAGCCAACGUUUAAUUCACAACCAACACCAAUCCUAGAAGUCUUCUUUAUUUCCAAUUGAAAUGUCUACACUAAUAGUUGAUCAACAACAUCAAUAAAAACGUAAUUAGGAAUAUAGAUAACAUAGUACUUAGGAAUAUAGAUAACAAACCAAAACACAAGACUAAGCUAUAAGAGUCACAUGACCCAUCUUUGAACAAACCAUUCUUCUUCUUUCUUUCUUUUUACUUUCUGACACUUCCUUCCUUCUUUCUCUCUUCACCAUGAUACGUCCUUAUUCUUCCUUCUCCUCUUCUCAGCCCACUAUCCUCGCUCCUUCCUUACUCCUUCUCCAACCAUCUCUCCGGUUACACACACC